rnacentral:rRNA from 1 species
GACGUAGGGCGCGAGCGUUGUCCGGAAUUAUUGGGCGUAAAGAGCUCGUAUGCGGCUUGUUGCGUCGUCCGUGAAAUCCCGUGGCUCAACUGCGGGCGUGCGGACGAUACGGGCAGGCUAGAGUUCGGUAGGGGAGACUGGAAUUCCUGGUGUAGCGGUGAAAUGCGUAGAUAUCUGGAGGAACACCGGUGGCGAAGGCGGCAUCCUGGACCGACAUUGACGCUGAGGCGCGAAAGCCAGGGGAGCAAACGGG